ensembl:misc_RNA
AUCAUGUUCCAUUGCAUUAUGUGAAUGUUCAAUCAAAGAAGUUAGGUUGUUCUCCAGAAUUGGCUCUCUCCUAAAGGUCAAAAC